rnacentral:rRNA from 1 species
UACGUAGGUGACAAGCGUUGUCCGGAUUUACUGGGCGUAAAGCGUGCGCAGGCGGCUUUGCAAGACAGAUGUGAAAUCCCCGGGCUCAACCUGGGAACUGCAUUUGUGACUGCAAGGCUAGAGUACGGUAGAGGGGGAUGGAAUUCCAGGUGUAGCGGUGAAAUGCGUAGAUAUCUGGAGGAACACCGGUGGCGAAGGCGGCAUCCUGGACCGAUACUGACGCUGAGGAGCGAAAGCCAGGGGAGCAAAGCGGG